AUACCAUUCCCUAUGGCUAUAAUUGGUUUCCGUCAGCGGAAAUUUCCAACAGUUUACCUCAGAUCGCACGCGAAGCCGUGGCUAAUGAUAUUUUAUUCACAUCCGUGCAUCCAACCGCACUAGAAAAUUACAAAGAAUGUAUGACAGGUCAAGGUGAAUGUAGCGAGUCGAUUGAUUUAAUGGAAACCGACUCUGAAGACGAAGAAAGCUUUUCCGAAAGACAAUCCGAUGUGGAGUUUCUUGACGACAUUGAUCACUCCGACAAUGAACUUUCGUUUUACAGACAGAUUGAUAAUCAAGUAUAGAGUCGAGACAGACUGAGGUUGUUUGACACAUUUCUACACUGGACAAGGCUAACGAUGAUUGAACACGAUACGCAGUCAUUUCUAUGUGAUCGGUAUGUACAGACGGGAAACAGUGACGAUAAUUGCGAACCAUGCAAUACAUCAACAUUAUACAGACAAAUAUGGAAACUAUCGUAGAAGGAACCAACACAUAAAAGUUGACAGUUUUUUCUUUCGCUGGUGGAACUAAAUACAUGAACGAUGAAGACGAAACCAUUGAUUCUGACAGUGACGGUGAUAACGAUAAAGACGAAGACGACAGCUGCGAAUGAAAUGGCGAUGAUGCUGAUGGUGAUAGUGAGGGUAACAGUGGUAAUAACGACAGCAGAGGUGAUGACUUUGAAGUUGAGAAUGAUAUCGUUGAAUGCGGAGGUAUUGACGGCGUGGACGGCGACAACAGCAAAGAUGUAGACAAUAAUAACAGCGACGGUGAUGUGGUUGAAAUGGAGGUUGACAUGUUAAAAAAAAAAUCCGUGAGGGGCGAACAUAAAACUUUUGGCGGGACGACGGAACGUGAGAUGAUUUACAUGGGGUGGACAUAAUCAACGACGAUGGUAGAAGAGAAAAACUGACUGAUGACUGAGGUAAACGAUUGCUUGUGGUUGACGUAUACGGAAAAAGUUGUGUCACAGACGAAAAUGAGUUCACCGACAACAAAUAUAAAUCUUUCUUUCGGGCUGGACACGGAUCAAACAGCACAUUUAACAAUGAGAAAUUGACAGGACAGGACAGAGGGUUUUCACGUAAAUCAAUGUACAUAAGUCUUGGGUACGCACGAAUAACAUCCAGUUCAUUCACAGCUUUAAUGUUGUUUCGUUUCAACGACAAAAUCCGUAUUCGUGCAUCUUUUACCGUUCCGAUAGGAACAUGCUUCAGAUCCAUGUUAGAACAAUCUAACAUACGAUAUCGCUUCACAUAACCGCAUUUUUCACCGUGGUUUGCACACGCAGCCAUAAGGAAAAAACAUACAGACAGCAAGGAAUUCAUUUUGGAAAAUUAGAAAAGUUACAAACAACUCUUGUGAACUAUGAAUGUUGCGAACUAUGAAUGUAGUUACAAAAUGAAUGAACGAUUAAAAGACAUGCCUAUGCUUGUGAGGAUUUUAAAGUAAACCCUUAAGUGAUUUUUAAGAUUUUCUGUCAUAAAUAUCUGCUAAAGUAUGCUGUGUUCAUAUGUAAUCAAAAGAGAUUUUUGUAGUUUGAUUGAUGUAGAUAGUUAGAAAAAUAUUUAAUAAAAAUUGUUCAUUGUCCAAUGUA